rnacentral:rRNA from 1 species
GACGAACGCUGGCGGCGUGCCUAAUACAUGCAAGUCGAACCGAGUGGCGAACGGGUGAGUAUUACGUGAGUAACCUGCCCUCAACUGUGGGAUAAGCCUGGGAAACUGGGUCUAAUACUGAAUAGUUGGGGAUGGGCUCGCGGCCUAUCAGCUUGUUGGGGGGGGGAUGGCCUACCAAGGCGGUGGAGGGUAGCCGGCCUGUGAGGGUGGUCGGCCAGAUGGGGAGUGGGAUACGGCCCAGACGCCGACGGGAGGCAGCAGUGGGGGAUAUGGGAAAAUGGGAGCAAGCCUGAUGCAGGGAGGCCGCGUGGGGGAUGAAGGCUUUCGGGUUGUAAACCGCUUUCGGUACAGAACGGGUAUGUGCAGAAGAAGCGCCGGCUAACUACGUGCCAGCAGCCGCGGUAAUAC